rnacentral:tRNA from 1 species
GGAGGACUAGUCCUAAUUGGUAAGGCAGCGGUCUUGAAAACCGCCGGCCGCAAGGCCAUGGGGGUUCGAGUCCCUCGUCCUCCG